UACGUAGGGGGCAAGCGUUGUCCGGAUUUAUUGGGCGUAAAGAGCGUGUAGGCGGCCAUGCAGGUCAGCUGUGAAAACUCGAGGCUCAACCUCGAGACGUCGGUUGAAACCGCAUGGCUAGAGUCCGGAAGAGGAGAGUGGAAUUCCCGGUGUAGCGGUGAAAUGCGCAGAUAUCGGGAAGAACACCCGUGGCGAAGGCGGCUCUCUGGGACGGUACUGACGCUAAGACGCGAAAGCGUGGGGAGCGAACAGG
rnacentral:rRNA from 1 species